rnacentral:rRNA from 1 species
ACCUCCACUCAGGCAAGAUUACGCCGCGAACUAAAGCAUUUCAGUAACGGCAGGAAAAGAAAAUAACAAUGAUUCCCUCAGUAACGGCGAGUGAAGUGGGAUCAGUCCAACGUUGAAAGCGGCACCCCUAAUAAGGUGUGGCAUUGUAACGUAUAGACUUGCCAUCGAGACAUUUGGCUGAACUAAAGUCGUUAAGAGUGACGCACCAUAGAGGGUUGUAGUCCCGUGCAUGGUUUGGUUUCAGAUGUCAAGAAUGGCAAAGUCAAAGAGUCGGAUUGUUUGGGAAUGCAGUCCAAAGUAGGUGGUAAACUCCAUCUAAGGCUAAAUAUAACUCCGAGACCGAUAGCAAACAAGUACCGUGAGGGAAAGGUGAAAAGAACUCUGAGAAGAGAUUGAAAAGAACGUGAAACCGUUAAUGGGGAAGCGUACAAUGUAAUCGUAGUAUUGUAAUAUUUGUGUGUGACAGUUUUUAUUGUCUUGCGCUUAAUGUUGCAAUGCGCGCUAGGCUCUAUGCUAAUGUUAUUGUCAGCGUGUUUAGUGGUUCAUCAACGGCUAUUCCUUGAGGAGUGGUCAGGUGGCUGUGAGCGCGUGCUGUUGUAGAAUAAUGCGGCAUAGAUGUAUGUGCUUGUGUGUUGUGCUGUGUGGGCGUAAAGUUGGCAUUGGUCACAAUGUGUUUAAUGUUGAUGUAGCGUUCAUGCAGUGCGAUACCACGAUGAUCGUCGCACAUGAACUCCUAGCGAGAUAUGACAUUGUUCGACCCGUCUUGAAACACGGACCAAGGAGGCUAACAUGUACGCGAGUCGAGGAGUGGAAAAACUCUAUGGCGUAACGAAAGUAAAAUGUGAGAUCACGCAAUGUGGAGUUGUGUGCGCAUCACAGACCAGUCGGAAAAUAGACUACGAUUGAGUUGGAGCGUACAUGCUAGAACCCGAUAGAUGGUGACCUAUUCCUGAGUAGAGCGAAUUCGUUGGAAACAAUGAUGGAGGCUCGUAGCGGUUCUGACGUGCAAAUCGAUCGUCAAACUUGGGUAUAGGGGCGAAAGACUAAUCGAACCAUCUAGUAGCUGGUUCCCUCCGAAAUAUCCCUCAGGAUCGCCGAGACUCGUAGCAGUUUCAUCGGGUAGAGCUAAUGAUUAGAGGAACUCGGGGCUAUUUAUAGCCUCGACCUAUUCUCAAACUGCAAACCGGUGAUCUUGUCAGUGAUUUCUUUGAAUUGGAAUCGCUGAUACCGUAAGGGCGAAUGCAGAGUCUCGAGUGGGCCGUUUUUGGUAAGCAGAACUGGCGAUGCGGGAUGAACCGAGAGUCGAGUUAAAGUGCCUAAAUGGCGGCAAACGGACACCAUAAAAGGAGUUGAUAAAUUAUGACAGUGAGGCUGUGGUCCUGUAAGUAGAUAUCAGCUAAGAAGUGUGCAACAACUUACUUACCGAAUUUAUUGGCCCUGAAAAUGGAUGGCGCUUUAGCCGUCUACUGAUACUCGACCGUAGGCGCGAGAAAAGUAACGUCUAUGGGUAGGAGGGUGCUAUGGUUGCGUAGAAGCAUAUUUGUGAGAAUAUGUGGAGCAGCCAUAGGUACAGAUCUUGGUUUUAGUAGCAGCGUACAGAAGUGAGAACCUUCUAGGCCGAAGUGGAGAAGGGUUCCUCGUGAACAGCAGUUGGACGAGGGUUAGUCGGUCCUAAGCAGAAGCUUACAUGCUGAGCAAAAGGGGACGUUUUGUAGUUAAUGUGUUUACACAUGAUACAUCGUCUCAGUCUGCGAAAGGGAAUCAGGUUAAUAUUCCUGAACCAGGCGGCGGAUAACCAGUGUUGUUAGGUAGUAUUGGAGCAAUCUAGUGCUGUUGAGUAGCAUUGGUAAAGCGGUAACGCAAAUGAACUCGGAGACGUUGUUGGUAGUUCUGGGAAGAGUUGUCUUUUCUGUUUAACCAGUUGGCUGAGCCUGGAAUAGAGUCAUUCAGAGAUAGGGUUAACAACUGGGAAGAGCGUCGCAUUUUUGUGGCGUCUGGAAUACUGCCAAUGAUCCUUGAAAAUCCGAGGGAGUGAUUAAGUGUCGUGCCUGGCCGUACCGAGAUCCGCAUCAGGUCUCCUAGGUGAAAAGCCUCUGGCUCUAGAAUAAUGUGGGUAAGGGAAGUCGGCAAAAUAGAUUCGUAACUUCGGGAAAAGGAUUGGCUCUAAGGGUUGGACUAUUCGGGCUGUUGUCUCGUGCUGGUAGCGAUCGUUGACGCUGAUUGAUUGGCUUUGCAGGUAACUGUAAGGUCGAGCUUUCUGUUGUUGAUGUGUUGCAACUGGUACCAGACGUCAGUUUACAGUGAUUCACGGGUGAAUUUAUUCAUCUGUGGGUUCUGUCUCGCGAGUAGCCUAAAUCAAUCAACUUAGAACUGUCACUAACUAGGGGAAUCCGACUGUUUAAUUAAAACAAAGCUAUUGCGAUGGCUGGAAACUGGUGGUUGACGCAAUGUGAAUUCUGCCCAGUGCUCUGAAUGUCAAAGUGUGGAGACACAACCAAGC